UCUACCGGUAUGCAGAACUGCUAUAAUAAACAUCAUUUUAUGAAGAAUCUAGACACUGUUUUCUGUAACAUAUGUUACAGUUAAUCUGUAUAAUCAGGUAAUAUACAUAUUACCUGAAAUAUACUUCACUAAUUUAUACAGAUAACCUGAAACAUGCAGAAUGGUAUUGACAAGUCUUUAGAUCAAUGUAGACCCAAGGUCUCAGUUCAAAACAAGUCUUUUGAUCAAUGUAGUCCACGUUCUCAGUUCAAAACAAGUCUUUUGAUCAAUGUAGUCCAAGUUCUCCUUGAUUGGUCACAAUACCUUUGAUGUACCUGUUCAUUGUUAAAUCAUUUCAUAGACAAUGUUACAGUUAAUCUGUAUAAUCCACCACUGCUGUUUUAACUAAUCCUAUCUGUAGAGCACAAUAAAGCCACCCAGGCACCCAAGAAA